UCCUACGGGAGGCAGCAGUGGGGAAUCUUCCGCAAUGGGCGCAAGCCUGACGGAGCAACGCCGCGUGAGUGAAGAAGGGUUUCGACUCGUAAAGCUCUGUUGUCGGGGACGAAUGUGGAGAUGGUGAAUAACCAUUUUCAAUGACGGUACCUGACGAGGAAGCCACGGCUAAACUACGUGC
rnacentral:rRNA from 1 species